UCUUUCAGUGGUCCAUGUACUCAGUAUUGAGGUCGACACUGAAGCGAGCGAGCGGUGGUUCGGUUAAUAAUAGAGCGGAAUUUUGAUAAACCAUUGGAUUUGAAAAGCAUUGUUUGCGAUAAUUCUAUUGUUGUUUUCAUUUGUUGAAAACAGUAAAAGAAACAACAAAUACAAUUGGAAUCGGCGAUCAGAUGACCGACAAGAUCAAUUGAGAAUUUCAAUGGAUCGGAAAUAAGAAAUUUAUUUCAACUAUAAUCAACCACCCAUUGGGUCUAAUUCCGCGUUGUGGUCCUAAGAUGGCAAUCAACAUUGGAUGCAUAUGUGAUAGAGAUGGUACUGCAAAUCCUAUUCUUAAUACCGAAAUAAUCUCUUUGAAAUUUAUUUAUAAACUUUUUGAAUUAAAUAAAAUGUGAAACUUACAAUAA